UAUAAGGCUAUGAUAAGAACAAGUAAUGAUCAGGGAAACUGACAGAGAGUUACCGGCUGGUGAGAGGUGCAAGGGAAGCUGAUCAUGAAUACCUCUUUGAGCUGCGCACCAAACGAAACAUCCAGUAGGCUGCGACGGAACCUGACCGUUAUAACAGGAGAGUAUGUAUGUACUUGAUGAGGCAGAAGCCGUGAGGCUUUUGUGAAUAAAGGUGGUAACACGAGUAUAAACCUCGUCCUUUGA
rnacentral:ncRNA from 1 species